UGAGGAAUAUUGGUCAAUGGACGCAAGUCUGAACCAGCCAAGUAGCGUGCAGGAUGACGGCCCUAUGGGUUGUAAACUGCUUUUAUGUGGGAAUAAAGUGGCGCACGUGUGCGCCAUUGCAUGUACCUCAUGAAUAAGGACCGGCUAAUUCCGUGCCAGCAGCCGCGGUAAUACGGAAGGUCCGGGCGUUAUCCGGAUUUAUUGGGUUUAAAGGGAGUGUAGGCGGUCUGUUAAGCGUGUUGUGAAAUUUAGGUGCUCAACAUUUAACUUGCAGCGCGAACUGUCAGACUUGAGUACACGCAGCGCAGGCGGAAUUCAUGGUGUAGCGGUGAAAUGCUUAGAUAUCAUGAGGAACUCCGAUCGCGAAGGCAGCCUGCGGGAGUGUUACUGACGCUUAAGCUCGAAGGUGCGGGUAUCGAACAGGAUUAGAUACCCUGGUAGUCCGCACAGUAAACGAUGGAUGCCCGCCGUUGGCGCCCUGCGCCUGCGGCCAAGCGAAAGCAUNNNNCAUCCCACCUGGGGAGUACGCCGGCAACGGUG
rnacentral:rRNA from 1 species